UCUUAGGGCAGACCCUAAUUUCACCUCUCAUUUUUUCAUUCAAGAGAACGAACAGAGCCCUCCUUUCAUUUUACCAAGAACCCUAGCUAGCCGCCGCCCCUCUCUUUCUUCUCUCUCACCUCACUCAUCUCUCACAGAACUACAAGCUCGCCUCCACACUCUCCUCUCUCAAAUACAUACCCAUAGACUGAUGAACUUAAAAAUACGGAGAGGGGCUUCAGCAAAGGAUUAAGAUCUGGAAAUGCAGCCACCCAUUUCACUCCGCUGUACUCACAAAAAUUCACAAAAACGCACACAAGCACAAGCCUCUAAAAUUUCGAAAAACAAAAACUAGGAACAAAUUCUGGAAUUCCGAUAUUUUCAAAUGGAGGUAUAAAUUCUGAAGGUUCAGAAGUUCAAAUCGUUGUUGGUGACUGUUGAAUCCUGCUGUUCUCUGUCUAAGCCGAGCUCUUUUUGUGGAUUCUAGCCUCUAUCUGGUUUCCUUUUCUUCUAGCUUUAGUUCCUUGAGCAGCUUGGUAUCCUAUAUGUUUUUGCCAAUGAAUGUCGUGGUUAUGAUUUUGAACUCUUGUUUUCCUAGUUAAUCAAAUUGAGUUCAAGCCCCGAGGUCCAUAAUCUAGAGGCACAGCGGCCCAGCUCCAAUUGCGUUUUACUCUUGAGUUUAAGAUUAGUUAGAUUAAUUCGAGCAAGUUUGAUUUCCAGUGCUAAGUAUCUGCCAGGUUAAUGUUAUCAAUUUUUGUGUAAUAACGUAAUUUUGGUUAAACAAAUUUGUAUUCGUUUUA